UACGUAGGGUGCGGGCGUUGUCCGGAAUUAUUGGGCGUAAAGAGCUCGUAGGCGGUUUGUCGCGUCGACUGUGAAAACCUACAGCUUAACUGUGGGCUUGCAGUCGAUACGGGCAGACUUGAGUUCGGUAGGGGAGACUGGAAUUCCUGGUGUAGCGGUGAAAUGCGCAGAUAUCAGGAGGAACACCGAUGGCGAAGGCAGGUCUCUGGGCCGCAACUGACGCUGAGGAGCGAAAGCAUGGGGAGCGAACAGG
rnacentral:rRNA from 1 species